CGCCGUCCUCCCCACUUGGAUACAAUUGGAUCCAAAUAGAGUUGUCUUAUGAAGGCCCUGGUCUUAGAAACAGUGUUUGGAAAUGACUUAGUUACCUUUAAUAGAUGACAACGUAAAAGUUUUGAAGUCAAGAUAGGGAGAUUAUGGGGAGACAAUGAUAGCAGAUGCCUGUUUUGAACCCCCACCUCACCGCCAAGCUCCAACAUAAAAAAAGUAAAGAAAGUUAUGUAAGCAAACCCGAAAACCCACAGACAAGGUCUCAAACGCAAGAGGCCAUGAAUUAAAUGACAGAGGUCCCGGUUUAAAUAAACAAGGACAAAGCUUCCUCAGCCCCAAGACUGGGUGGACCGAGCACUUGUGUAUGUAAAUGGGAGAUGUUGCCUGUCAAACCUGAAGAAAGCACAAGACUUCCCAACGAAAAUACAGUGCUGCUUUGAAGCGCUUUGCAGACUUCCUUAAGAGCACAAAAGAUGGGUGAGGCACACCCCAGCUUGAAGACUGGGUCACAGAGCACUGUAAAGAGUAAGUCAAAAAGUUACAAAACUCCAUUAAGUUGACAGCAUUGCAAAACUUGGUAAGAAAAAUGAAAGAAUAUGUGUGUAUGUGCAGCCUUGUCUACGUCUGUCUAUUGAUAUUCUCAUAUAAUCUUCUGCUUAAGCAAUCACAGUCAUAUUCUGUCAGAAACCAGCGAAUCUAGAAAAUCACUAUAUUAUAACUUUAAAAUUGGCACAUGAAGAUGACCUUUCAAACCACGAGUGUUUCGGCGAAAUUCUCAAGUGCCCUUGUAGCAUCAGGAAUGUUUGUCUCAUCUUGGGAAUAUCAAAACUGCUGUUUUCCCCCUCAAAAUGCAUUAGAAGAACAUUGAUAUGGUGCCCCGAGGAUGUCACUAUUUAUAAUGUGAAACAUCCCAUGCACAAUUCUGGUUCCAGGCGAUUGUGCUCAAGGCAGAACAGAGUGGCUUGUCCCCAGUGAGUUCCUCAGGUGGCCCCCUACAAUGCAAAUUGAACUGCCCUCAAGGUGCCCCAUAAAUUAAUUAUAAAAAUCUAAAAUAAAUAACACAACAUAAUAAAAAAGUUUGUCUUACUAAACUAAAAUCUAUUCCCCUUGUUUAACUUUUAAACAGAGCAGAGCAAGAAUUGCCAGAACAAGGAGAUGGCUCACCUGGUAAAGGUGACGCCAAGGCCACAGCAGGAGUUCUAUCCCUGGACCCCACAUGCUGAAAAUCGAGAGCCACUUCUGUGCAUUGUCCUUUGACCUCCACAUGCACGUGGCUGCCCGCACGUUCGCACACACAUGCACACGAGUACAUGCACAUGUGUGCGUGUGUACACAUGUGCAUGUGCGCUAAAUGUUUUUUAAAAGGAAAAGAAACUAUGGGAAAGUUGUUGUAAACCUAUCUGACAGUCUCGAUUUUUAAGGAGGUGAAGUGAUUAUGGUUAAAUGUGCGUGGCAACUGUGGCUUUUUGAUAUGAGCACUGACAAUUUGAGCAGCUUAAUGUGUGCCUGCCGCUCGUUUUAACAAAUUUCUUAUCACCUACUUUGGGGUUGGGUUCUAGACUUGGAUUUCACUGAGUAAAGCUGGCUCUUGUCCCAGCUUAGGAAUCAUAGUAACACAGUAGUCACACAAAGGAAUCACAUCACGAUUCACUUGUUUUGUGACGGAGUAUGAAAGUAAUUGCUUAAGUAAAAGAUUAUAUGAGAAUGUCAAUAGAUGUAGACAAGGUUGCGUGUGCAUUUAUUUUUUUUUAUUUUUGGUUACUAAACUUUAAUGCACUGCCAGAAAUGUUCUGCCAAAGGUACUGAACAGAGUCAUGAACCACCUAGAGAUUGUUUGCUCACAUGGGGUGCACACACCAUAGCAGUUCUACAAGACGACUGUGCCUAGAUGCGGAAGCCAUUUUAGUUUGUGUGGGGGCGUUCACAUAUCAGCAGAGCAAGCAGAACAAUGGAAUCAUGUAAGGAUGGUUUCUCGGGCGUCUUCUGUUAAUAGGGUGCACAUGAUUACAGUUACAUGAGAAUCUCAAACUACUGAGAAGUACUGUGUUCAUAUAUUCUAUGGCAGAGAGAUGUGAUCCAAAAGAGAAGCAAUAUGGCCUCCACCAUUGGCCCGGCUCACUAGCUGGCUGUAGAGCGGGGAAACCAAACUGGGCUCUGAAUAGCAAAGACUGAAAAGCUGACUGAAGAAGAUCAAAAAGGCUAGGAUUUAUGGGCAAGGUACUGAAGAGAAGACGUUACACAGAAAUUUCCAGGAAUCUGUGAAAACUCCCUCAGACCCAGGGAGGUGUGCAUGCAAGAGAAUAGAGCAGCUCUGGGCAGAAAAGAGGAGGCCACGCCAUCCCACAGCUCCUACAUGGCUGUAGUCAGGAUAAGAAAUGAUCAGGUAAUAAGUGAGAAUUAAGAAGCCUCUAAGGAGGAACUUCCUUGGUGCUGUUCUGCCCAGCAAUAUUGAAGGGUAAGCUUCAGAAACUGUGAUUCCUAAGCUGGGACAAGAGCCAACUUUACUCAAAGAAAUCCAAGUCUAGAACCCAAUUCAUGCCAAGUAUCCAGUCUUCAGUUGUGGGCAUUAAAAGAUGCAGAGGACAGGGAUGAAGGAGGGACCAACGUGGACAUGAUGAAGUAGAGUGCGCGCCUAGAAUGCUACUUGGCUGAGACAGACAUUUUAGCUCCUAAAAUCUACCAGACAGGCCUAAAAGCAGAGUAAACACCGCAUACAAAAAUCACUGAGUUAAAGAUAUGCACUGAUGACCGACCAGGGAAGGCAGGGUAACGAGUAGGGAAAGCCUUUGAGACACUGUCAAAUUGUCCAUCAUUGUCCAACCUGAGCUCCACAGGAAAAGAAAAGAUACUGAAAAACAGUGCCUUGAAAUUUUCCAAGUGUGACAAUUUGUUGUUUGUUUGUUUGUUUGUUUGUUUGUUUGUUUGUUUGUUUGUAAUGUCUCCAAAAAAACAAUUCACUCUAAUGUUGGGGAAGCCUGAUCCUUAUUCUGGGCAAACUAAAAGUCAAAAAUUUAAAGCUGGUGCCGGAAAAAUUCACAUGGAAUCUGAAUAUUUUACCCAGAAAAGAGAAAGAAAAAGAACAGAAAUAACAAUUCUUAACUCACAGAAGUGAAUUAAGGCUGAAAUGGCAUGUGAUAUUUUAACCUUAUUCUGAAUUUCCUUGUUCUGAUCAAUCUAAAUCAGGCCUUAAUGAGAUUUAAAUGUAGCUACUUCUAAUUCCCAUAAUAGGCAAACAAAGGAGAGGUUAAAAUAAUUCUAUUAUUUCACAAUGAUGAAACAGACUGAAUAUUUCAAUUAUUCUACUUAUUAUAGAACACAUAGAACAACACGCUGUAAUCGGCUUCGAUAUAUAUAGGCUCCUUAACCACACCACAGUGGGGCUAACACAGCCACGCCGGUUGAGCUGCGCUAGCUGAUUCAGUGUUGGAAUAAAGUACUUCACAGAUUAGCUUAGUCUGCAGCGCUUAAAGGUCAGGAUUUAUUGUAAUGUAAAUCACAAAGCAAUUUCAUCUUGACAGAGAUUACAUACUGUUACAAUAUUUCUCGCUGAAUCUGGUGAUGCGUUUGCUUUUUCUUUGCAACUGCUGUGCAAAUUGGACCGUAGCCCAGAAAAGAAAAAGAGAUGGCAGGCUGCUAUGGCUUUUUAGAAACAACUUAAUUCUCUCCAUUUUUCAAAGUUCCACAAGGGGGAAAAAAAAACUCUGAAAAUACACAUAAAAUCCUCCACAGUACUUGUAGACCUUUCCAGAGCCUGAGCUCUAGUGCACACAGGCACCCACCCUAAGUGGCCACCUCUCAAAUGUUUGCAUGCAUUUUAAAAACGAAAGUAAUUGUUAAUAACUUAUUUCCGAUUACUCGAAGCAAGUAUCUUGAUAUACUAUGUAAACCAUCUCCACUCAAAGCAAACAAACAGAAACAAUAGGAAGCGCCCAUGCUUUCAGCAGAAGAAACUACAAACAGAAGAGAAAGAAUCCAGUCUAAACAAAGGAAGGCGGGGGUUGACAGAGCAGUGCUGCCUCUCCGGCCCAGGCAGGAAGGAAAGGUAGACACUAACCCUUCCGUACCACCCUGCUGAGGCUUUGCUCUAAGAAUGGUAGACCCUGGACUAGAUAUCAGCAAGAAAUUUGAUUUCCAGGGUCCUAGACAAACCCAAAGAGUGUGAGGACUUUUUAAUCCCCAUAUCCCCAGGUCCAUAUCCCCAGGUCCAUCUCCCCUUGGAGACUGAGUUGGUCACUCCGGUCAUCCCACCCCGACAGGAUCAUCAGUGGCUGCUCAUUCUUGAGACCCAUUGUGCUAGACAGGUGCUCUUAUACCGAUGUUACUUUCUAAAAGCUCGUCUUCCAUUGUCCACGAAAUUUAUUUUCCAAAUUCAUGAGUCAAAGAGCCCAAAAGGCACUGGCUCAGAGGGACUUCUGUAGCUGUGGAGUGAGUGUCCAAGAACCAAGCCUCAGAGUCUAAGGAGGACUCAGCACCCCACAUACUCUGGGAGUCCUUUGUUCUCAUAUCACAAACAAGGCACUGCUCACUGCAUGGAGCCUUUGUGUGGACCCAGCACAUUUGAUUUGCCUAGAAAAGUUCUAGUCCCGUCCUGUAAGAAUCACCUUACUCCUUUUCUCUCAAAAGUAUCCUGAUUUAGUCAAGGCCUCCAGUGGAGCGACUGCAAAGGCAACCCAGUCAUAAAAUCUCCAACCUACACUUUGUCUUGCCUGCUUAUGAGCUGGGGCAGUCUAGAGUAAUUGUCAUCCGAGAGACCAGAGACUUCAUCCAGCAACGGGAGCAGAACUCAGGAAGCUCUGUGGAGGAGAGGGAGGAGGGAUUGGAGGAGCCGGAGGGAUGGAGAACACUACAAGAACAUGGCCCACAGAAUCAACUGAUCAGGGCUCAGGAUGUCAGAAUUUCAUGCAGGAAGCAUCCCAGCUGCCAAGAAACAUUCUGAAAGCCAUUCUCUUUCACUGAAGAUACUGAGAAACGGGACAAGAAACGAGCGUGUCUGAAAGUUACUGUUGCCAGAAAGUUUGGGGGACCCAUAUUGAAUGUCAUACGUUACCAGAGAAACGAUGGGUUUUCCCUUUAGGAUUGUAGUCACUUUCAUAUAAGUAGGCACAGCAGGAAGCUCCAGGACAACAGGGCAAAGAAGCUUCAACCCCCGGAAGGGUGUUGGGAGUGGUAUAUGGCAAAGAAAAAGAGUCAUGUCUUCUGGGUUACACUGGCAUGCUCAGUAAAGGGAGGGUAACCAAGACAGCACAUGGCAACACACUGCUACACAACAGAGAGAGGGUAGUCUCAGAGAACCAGUGAGAAAGCCCAAAGUGCAGAGGAAAACAUGCUUAGACUCUGAUCAGCAUCUGAAGAAAGAAAUAGAAAAGAGAAACAGGAAAGUUAUGAUUUUCUGAGUGAGGACUCAGAUAGGCAGGCAGAGUCGAAAGAGCUUGUAGAAUCUCUGUAAGCAAGUGAACCAAAGGAGGUAACAUUUCUGAGGAGGUAGGUGCAUUAUCUCAUAACCGGAUACUCAUCCCUCCCAUCUCUUCAGAGCGGCUUUAGCAGAGUCACCUGCUUGAGGGGUCAUCUCUUGAGCAAGCCAUUGACAGGCCCAGCUCAAUUAUAUCUUAAAGGAGACAAACUACAUGUUUCAAUCUUUAGAACAUAAAGGUCCAUCGAGGGUGGAGAUCCUGAAAUAAUUGAGAAGGGCUGCAAUGUGGAAAUAGUUGUGGCUGACUGACACCAUCGAAGUCCAGAUGUGCAGUUCCAAAGCUGUUCACCAGCAGAAAUUAACAUCUGGGCUGGUGUCUCGAAAUUGUUCUCAGGUAUGACUUCUAACCAGAGAUGCUCCUUUAGGUGAAGCUAAAACCAGAGUCCUCUUCCAGCAUUCCUGGCCUCCAGCAAGGUCAAUUUUGGAACUGCUGCCUUGGGGUCCCAAGUUUUCUCUUUUCUAUCCUGUCCUUAUUAUUACCACCCUCCCGGGUCAUUAAAGAAAAAAAAAAUCUUCCACUUAGCCCUAUGUAAUAAAUACCUCUUUGAUUGCCAGAAUUAGCCAACAGGUCCAGUGAAUUAAAUCAGCUUUUGUUUAACCCUGGAAAUAUAACCAGACUCUUCAUUAAAAGCUAAAUGUAUAUCUGGCCUUGUAUUCAGAUGAUGAGAAGGGAAGAAUGAAGAGACACAGGCAGCACCCCGUGCAACCUGGGAGACAGGAAGAGAAGGGAGGAGGACAAGAAAGAAAUAGCCUGUAUCCCUCUCCGCACCCCCGCCUUUCCUCCUUUGCCACCUUGAGUGUUACACCAAACACGUCUGUCUACCCUCCCUGCUCACAUGGGGGAGGGCCAAAAGCUUUACAUUACACCACUGGUUUACACCCUGAGAAGCGUCUUGUGAGCUGCAAAAUACACUUCGAAGCAACUUUCUAAAAGGCACAUCUAUAUUUACCAAAAUGUUCCACAUGAUUAAACUGUGAAAUUUGUCUCCAGUUUGGCAAUACCUUAGAGAGAUGUUGUGAGGUUUAGAGAGAAAAUGCCUGUGAAAUGCCUUACAUUCCAGGGAAGGGAAGCACCAUAGACUUCCAAGGUGCUGUUACACUCCCUGGGGCUCCGUUGGUGCAACAGCGAGCAAAGGCUCGUAAGCUAUGAUGUCACAAUGUUGUCACGCAGCAUCAUCCACAGUGAGACCAAGAAAGAGCUGUUUUUAAAGAGCUUCUUUUCCCCUCUUCCUCAGCUUGUUAAAGCAUAUGGUCUUCAAAAGUAGUUCACAGUGAACUUCAUCUCUGCCACUGCUGUAAAUGAAGUUUCUUCUCAGGCAGAUGUCAGUGCUAAAAGUUUGGUGCUCGGAAAUACCAAAUUUACAUAAAAUCUAUAUAGCUUUUUGCAAAAGUCUUUUUGGUUGACGUAGGCUGAUUGGCUGGGAAUCAUGGUUCACUCGAUUCUUCUUGUAGUCAUAAUAUAGCCCACUAAUUAGAAAACAAUAAUUUUGAUUGAUCCACGGAGGCCACUCCUGGGGCUCCGUUGGUGCAACAGCAAGCAAAGGCUUGUAAGCUCUGAUGUCACAAAGUCCUCUCUGUCUUUAAUGUCAUCUGUUACACUGAAAGAAAGAAAUUACCAAGUAGGCACAGAGAGAUUCUUGGGUUAUUAAGUUAGGCCUGAUGCAAUGCUUCACUCCUUCUUUAAAAGGGGAACAAGAAUACCCUUGGCAGGGAAUAGGGAGGCAAAGUUUAGAACAGAGACUGAAGGAACACCCAUUCAGAGCCUGCCCCACAUGUGCCCCAUACAUAUACAGUCACCCAAUUAGACAAGAUGGAUGAAGCAAAGAAGUGCAGACCGACAGGAGCCGGAUGUAGAUCUCUCCUGAGAGACACACCCAGAAUACAGCAAAUACAGAGGCGAAUGCCACCAGCAAACCACUGAACUGAGAACAGGACCCCCGUUGAAGGAAUCAGAGAAAGAACUGGAAGAGCUUGAAGGGGCUCGAGACCCCAUAUGUACAACAAUGCCAAGCAACCAGAGCUUCCAGGGACUAAGCCACUACCUAAAGACUAUGCAUGGACUGACCCUGGACUCUGACCUCAUAGGCAACAAUGAAUAUCCUAGUAAGAGCACCAGUGGAAGGGGAAACCCUUGGUCCUGCCAAGACUGAACACCUAGUUAACGUGACUGUUGGGGGGAAGGUGGUAAUGGGGGGAGGAUGGGGAGGGGAACACCCAUAGAGGGGGGAGAGGGGGCUAGGGGUAUGUUGGCCUGGAUACCAGGAAAGGGAAUAACAAUCUAAAUAUAAAUAAGAAAUACCCAAUAAAGAUGGAGAAAAAAAAGAAAAA